rnacentral:rRNA from 1 species
GCUUAACACAUGCAAGUCGAGCGAGAAUCGUUUUCCUGAAGGCUUCGGUCUGACGCAGAAUGAGGAAAGCGACGAACGGGUGAGUAACGCGUGGGCAACCUGGCCUUAAGAAAAGGAUAGCCCCCGGAAACGGGGAGUAAUACUUUAUGAGAAUGAAAGAGGGCAUCCUACUUUCAUUCAAAGCGCAAGCGCUUAAGGAUGGGCCCGCGUAUCAUUAGCUAGUUGGUGAGAUAACAGCCCACCAAGGCAACGAUGAUUAGCCGGUCUGAGAGGGCGAACGGCCACAUUGGAACUGAGAGACGGUCCAAACUCCUACGGGAGGCAGCAGUGGGGAAUAUUGCGCAAUGGAGAAGAACUCUGACGCAGCAAUACCGCGUGAGCGAAGAAGGUCUUCGGAUCGUAAAGCUCUGUUAUCAGGGAAGAAGAAAAUGACGGUACCUGAUGAGCAAGUCCCGGCUAACUACGUGCCAGCAGCCGCGGUAA